rnacentral:piRNA from 1 species
GUUGAGCAUAGCCUUUUGCAGUAGGAU